CAACCUCGUAAAAAGUAGCUUUAUUUGGUUAGCUGAAGAAAUGUCUAAACGCGUGUUAUUUUGCAUUUCGACUGUUAUCAAAAGAUAACAGAAUUAACGCCAAUGGCGUUACAAAUAUUAGUUUCAUUCGGCAAUUGUUGCUCAAAACCCUUUGAUCUAAAGCAGACGACAAAGCUACUAAAACUGAUUUCACAAGUACACAUUGAUCUUACGUUUUUGAAAAAUGUGGUACUUUUACAACAUUACUCAUGUGCAGCUGGUCCUGACUAACACAAAGGAAAACAGAAUGGCUUAUGUUUCAAAAUGCAAGUGGACGUCGAAAUUUGAGCUUGACGGUUAGAGAAAUGGAAUACGUGCUCGUGAGUAACCUAUAAAGGUCAUUCCUCAGAUACCAUCUCUCUAGUUGCCAAGGAACAGUUACGAAUGACCAACAACCAUUUUGAAAAAAAAAAUUCCUCAGCAAG